AGUUUCAGACUCAACAUCUGUUAAAGUACUGAUCUCUUCUUCUGCUGCUGGAUCUCUGCUGAUUGUUGCUGCAGUCGUGAUAGUUUGUAUUUGCAGGAAAUGUAGACAAACAGACAAAGAAGCUGAGACUCAUGAAGAUGAGAUCACUUACAUUGAGCCUACAUUCUACAAAAGAGAAGCACAGAAACCGGAUGUUAAAGAGGAUGAUGACGUGGAAUAUGCACUUAUCGUCAAGAGAAGAUGAUCAGACACGUAUCAGACCCGCUUUGUGUCUUUCACAGGAAGCUCUUGUGACUACCUCUGAGUCUGUCAUUUCAUCUCAGCCCUUGAAAGCAUGUAGAUUGAGUUUUAGGAUUGUAAGUUUAAUUCAGGGCUGGAUUAAUGAAAUUCUCUCUUAAAGAAAACAAAAUCAUUUUAAUCUUGUGAAACACAAACAUUUUCUUGUUUGACUCUAUAGCCUCCUAAGGAAUUAUAAUUAUAAUUAUUUUAUUAUUAUUAUUUUUAACAAAUUCCCAAAACGAGAAACAUUUUUGCAUCUGAUUUACAUCGGUGUAGAUUUGCAGGAAACAGUUGUUCUUGAACAUUGCUGAAUGUUUGCGGUUGACUUAAACACAGACACUGCUAAGGCGUCAUUGGCGUGUGGUUAAAUGCCUUUUUCCAUUUCCAUUUCUUAUGAAACUCAGUCUAACUUUAGCAUUAACGAACCACUUUACCAUGAAAUCCUGAAUCUAACAGAUACACGAUUCUCUCAGAUAAAAUAGUAUGUGUUAAAAUAUCAGUCAAUUUGAGUGAAGUCUGAUUUGUUACUAUAGCACUUUUUUUCAAUAGCAAUUGUUUCAAAGCAGUUUUACAGAAAACUAUGAUGUUAAAGUUAAAUAAUAUUUUGCAGAUUUGAGCCAGGAGAUAAUCUAAAUGUUUAAAUUGAUGAAGCAGAGUUUUGAUAUAUACUGACCUGCACAAGUAAACUGGAUGUAUGUGCUAUUCUCCAAUAUAAAGAGCUUCUAGUCAAAUCAGGCAGUUAUUUCUGAAAACUACUGAUGUUCUUCAUAUCAAGCCCAAAACAGUUCAUAACCUGUUUUUACCAUCAUUAGAGAUAAAUGCAAUGCAUUGUUCACUGCUGUGAUUGUUAUAUCAUGCAGAUGUCUGAUGGUUGUUAUUGACUUAUUUUCAUUUUGGGGAUAAUUAACUAGCUAACUAACAACACCGCUAACAAAAAAUAUGUAUAUUUUUCAGUUGUAUAACAGUGCUUCCAAAAGCAAAAUGCAACAGCAACACAUUUGGCAAAAACAGACACUUUUUUAAAAAAAACUUUGAAGGCCGUUUUGUCUGAGCGCCAUCUAGUGUCAAAAUAAGAAUCUUGCAGAUAACCUUUUAUACAGUUUUGGUUCAUCCAGAGACUAAAGUAAUCUUAUUGAAAAUCACAAUGAUGUCAUUCAUUCAUUCAGUCCACGGGCCUGUACCAUGAACAAAUUCAGUUACAGGGUUAGUUUUGAGUUGACAAAACCAAACCUCUCCAAUCCGGCUUUGUUGGUACCAUUAUGCUGUUCAUCAACUUUCUUUGUCAAUUCAGGCUUAGAUCAAAGAAUGUGUAAUAUGGCGAGAAGUUUCACUUUCACUACAAUUCGGCUUCUGAACUGGUUGCAGUUCCACUCUGAUUCCAUAUGAGGGCGCUCACAGGACAAGUGCAGAAUGAAUGGUGGUCAAUGGCGGUAUACCCUCAAAAUCCACUUUUCUGAGGAUUUUUUUUUUUUUUUUUUUUUUGUCUAGUAAUUUGAAUGUUGUAUUCGAAAGGAGAUGCAAAGAAAUCACACAUUGCUGGGUGCUUGAUUUUUUUAGAGACACUUAUUUGCUUUAAAAAGUCUUUUAAAAUGUCAAUGACGUCAUACACAUCGUAAGACCAGAGGUACUGCUUUAUGGCAAUCCUUCAGUCAGUUUGGUGCUUUCAGAGAAUGUCUAUGGUGCUUUCCAGAGCCGUUGAAAAAUUAUUUAAUCGCUCUGAUGCUUUCGUGCUCUGAUUUUGGACAUUAGCCAACUUGGCAUUUGGCCAACUUUCCCUCCCACGUGAACCUCCGUAAAUUCAGGUUGGCUUUGACGAUUAACAGUCCACAUGGGUUAACUUUUUUCGUCCUUGGCAAAUGAGAAAUAGUACAACCCUUGCCCGCUAUUAGAACAAUUUAUCAUUGCACACCUGUGAGGCAUUUUUCUUUUUUUUCUUUUUCAGUUUUUAAUUGAUAUUUAGCACUAUUGAGCAUGACAGUUGUGUUUAAGGUGGCGAUACUAUACCAUAUGUAUCCGGUAUUUCUUAACACAAGAAGUACUCAAAUUCAAUUUAUUUUCCAUGUAAAUUUCAAAGUACAUGUAUAACAAUAGACAGAUAAAAUUGCCAGCAACAAAAAAAAAAAAAAAAAAAAGAGUUGCUGCGUUGAAAAGAAAAACUUGGGCGAAAAAGUCCGCCUUAACAUUCUGAUCCCGCUGAUUCUGAAGCCAUCAAGCGGUAUCUCUGGUCAUUAUCAUUCCUUCACUGACCAAUUAGCGCUCAUUAGCAGAAUGCUAGUGUGUUAUGGGCAACAACUCAACCUGUAGGAAAUCGAAAGGACAUAAGUACUCGUUCAUUCAACUUUUGACCUAUAACCCAUGUUGAACUUGCAAAACCUACAAUCAUAUCUGAGAUUUCGGGUGAAAGGGACAAAUUUAGCGAGCAGGGUAUAACUGCAGCCUGGAGAACUCCAAAAGGGGCGAAAACUCAAAUGGGGUGGGACCUCCAAAAUAGAGCAUGGCUUCCUCCCAUUGAGAGAGUUGUCACAGGCCGGAACGGGCCCCUACCGAACGUACCACCUCGAGGAGUUUACCCAGAGACAGCACAGACGGACAGCAAGGUAAGUAUAAAUGUUCAGUUUUAUCAAGUUAAGAUCCUAAAUACUAAAACACGUGAUGGAAGAGUUCCAACUCUGUUCCCCUCGGUCCAGCAGCGGUGGGAGCUCUUGGUACAAUGGUCCCAACCCAAGAGAUAACAGAAUGGGAAGCCAACUCAAUCCUUCCACAGAGCAGAUAACAGCACAGAUAGGGCUACGAGAUCUCCACGCAGCAAUUCCUUUCCAAGCAGUCGUUGCUCGCUUUUUCUGGUCUUGGAGAUGGGAAUUGGCGUAAAGCUUGGAGAACAGUAGACAAAUUUUAUAUUAAUAAAGUAAAAGAGUUUUCUUUUAAAAUAAUGCAUAGAAUAGAUCCAGUUAAACAUGUGCUGGAAUGCUUUAAAUCAGAAAUUGAUUACUCUUGUGAUGUCUGUAAAGGUGAAAAGGAAAUUAUUUUUCAUUUAUUUUUUCAUUGUAUACAUACAAAAAUAUGGACUGAUGUGGAGUUUUUUAUUAAGAAAAUAUUGGACAUUUAUUUGCAGUUGAGUGGAUUUGAUGUAAUAAUAUACUUCAGUGAUCAUGGAGUUGACAAAGAUGAAGCAUAUUUCAUACAAUUGUUAAUUGUAAUGGGGAAGUUUUAUAUUCAUAAAAUGAAGUGGUCAGGCUCCAAACCAAACUUUUCUCAUUUUCUAAAUGAUUCCAAGCUGAAUUGUAAGAUUCUAUGAAAUUGCACAAGUAAAAAACCUAUUCGAGCUUAUAGUAAACAGGUAUAAAGUGACACCCCCAAAAUAUUUAUCUAUUUAUUUUUAUGUUGUUAUUGUCCUCUGGCAUGGUUUUCAUAUUAAUGUUGUUCAUAUUUUUUUCCUUCUCAUUUUAAUGUUUCUCGUUGCAUUGUUUUGAUGUAUGGUAUAAUAAAAUUAAAAUAAAACAAAGUU